rnacentral:misc_RNA from 1 species
UUAAUUAUUAUAUAGUGCUCAGACAACAUAAUAUAAGAAGUAUUAGGUCCUCUGGCAGGCACAAACCAGCCAAAGCCAGCAGUCUCAAUAGACAGGCCCACCAAAGCAACAGAAGGUAUGUAAACAAAGGGUGGGAGAUAUACCCCAAAGGGCAUGUUCUCUGUAAUGAUCCUUCCGCAGGUUCACCUACGGAAA